UACGGAGGAUGCGAGCGUUAUCCGGAUUUAUUGGGCUUAAAGGGUGCGUAGGCGGACGCUUAAGUCAGCGGUAAAUUGCGGGGCUCAACCUCGUCGAGCCGUUGAAACUGGGUGCCUUGAGUGGGCGAGAAGUACGCGGAAUGCGUGGUGUAGCGGUGAAAUGCAUAGAUAUCACGCAGAACUCCGAUUGCGAAGGCAGCGUACCGGCGCCCUACUGACGCUGAAGCACGAAGGCGUGGGUAUCGAACAGG
rnacentral:rRNA from 1 species